UAACCAGUUUAAUAGUAAAACGAUCUCAAAUAAACAUCCUAAAUUCUAUACAACGGACUUUUUAUUUUAAAACCUCAGUAAUGUGUCACUUUGAAGUCAUCUGUCGAGAUGAAGAGACGUAAAUUAUGACAAUAGAGUGUGUGUUAUUAUUGAAUGUAAAUAAAAACAGUGCGUUUGUAAAUACAAUGCAACGAACGAUAAUAAUACUCAUUUGCUUGCUGUUAGCCAACAUCAGCAUGGCGUACGUGUUACCAACAUCAUUCAACGCGGUGGACAAGCAUACCAACAUAACAAAGUAUUCUGAGGACUAUAAAAAAUAUAACUUCUUGAUCACAACUUACUUAUAGCAGAUAGCUAAUGAAAGCGUCGUGAAUAUAAAUGACAAUAAAAAUGAUUAUAGAUAAUAAAAAAAUAUAAAUAACUAACUAGAUCUGUGAUGUUUAAAAUAUCAUUUAGAAGAUAAUAAAAUAUUUUUUAUUCAUUGA